UACGUAGGGUGCAGGCGUUAAUCGGAAUUACUGGGCGUAAAGCGUACGCAGGCGGUUUGCUAAGACAGGUGUGAAAUCCCCGGGCUUAACCUGGGAACUGCGCUUGUAACUGGCAAGCUGGAGUGUGGCAGAGGGGGGUGGAAUUCCACGUGUAGCAGUGAAAUGCGUAGAGAUGUGGAGGAACACCGAUGGCGAAGGCAGCCCCCUGGGCUAACACUGACGCUCAUGCACGAAAGCGUGGGGAGCAAACAGG
rnacentral:rRNA from 1 species